UACGUAGGGGGCAAGCGUUGUCCGGAAUCAUUGGGCGUAAAGAGCGUGUAGGCGGCUCGGUAAGUCCGCUGUGAAAGUCCAGGGCUCAACCCUGGAAUGCCGGUGGAAACUGUCGAGCUAGAGUCCGGAAGAGGCGAGUGGAAUUCCUGGUGUGGCGGUGAAAUGCGCAGAUAUCAGGAGGAACACCAAUGGCGAAGGCAGCUCGCUGGGACGGUACUGACGCUGAGACGCGAAAGCGUGGGGAGCAAACAGG
rnacentral:rRNA from 1 species